CAAAGGCAUGGUCCCGGCCUUAUUAUCAGCUGUGGCUCAACUUACACAUGCAAGUCUCCGCACCCCAGUGAGUACGCCCUCAAUCCCCUCCCGGGGGAGAGGAGCUGGCAUCAGGCACAAAUAAUUAGCCCAAGACGCCUAGCUAAGUCACACCCCCAAGGGAAUUCAGCAGUGAUUAACAUUAAGCCAUGAGUGAAAACUCGACUUAGUUAGAGCCAAUUAGAGCCGGUAAAACUCGUGCCAGCCACCGCGGUUAGACGAGAGGCUCUAGUUGAUAUUAUACGGCGUAAAGGGUGGUUAGGUAUAAAUAUAGAUUUAAAGCCAAAUGGCCCCUUGGCUGUCAUACGCUUCUAGGAGCCCGAAGCCCCAUACACGAAAGUAGCUUUAAUUAAAUUUACUGACCCCACGAAAGCUAAGAAACAAACUGGGAUUAGAUACCCCACUAUGCUUAGCCAUAAACCGAAACAUCAAAACACAAUAGAUGUUCGCCAGGGUACUACGAGCACUAGCUUAAAACCCAAAGGACCUGACGGUGUCUCAGAUCCACCUAGAGGAGCCUGUUCUAGAACCGAUAACCCCCGUUCAACCUCACCACCUCUGGCCAUUCCAGCCUAUAUACCGCCGUCGUAAGCCUACCCUGUGAAGGUAAUAAGAGUAAGCAAAAUGAGUAAAACUCAGAACGUCAGGUCGAGGUGCAGCGCAUGAGGUGGGAAGAAAUGGGCUACAUUUUCUAACACAGAAUAUUACGAAUUACCAACUAUGAAACAGUAUAUGAAGGAGGAUUUAGCAGUAAAAGGAAAACAGUGUGUUCCUUUGAAUUCGGCUCUGAGACGCGUACACACCGCCCGUCACUCUCUCCUAUUAAACGCAACAAAGAUGACUAACACAAUAGCACUAAUCAAGGGGAGGCAAGUCGUAACACGGUAAGUGUACCGGAAGGUGCACUUGGAUCAAACU
rnacentral:ncRNA from 1 species